rnacentral:lncRNA from 13 species
AUCUGAGCAUUGUCUUAUGGGAGAGCUGGUAAAGGGGUGUCAGGGUGAGGCGUGUGGCUGCAUCUGGAGUUCCUGAUGACCAUCAUGGGGCCAUGGCAUGUCAGCAAUGGGAUGACUGCAGGUAUGUUUGUGUGUGUAAGCUGGUGAGGGUACAGGGAGGGGUUCAAAAAAAGCCAAAUUAUGAAAGAACGACAUUAUUCUAAGUCCAGAUGAAUUUUGCCAUAGACAACGUUGACUACUUUGGAAUUGUGUCCUUCCCCAGAACCAGCGAGGAAAUGCAUGGUGUUUUGGCAUCUGUAAUGGAAAAAGAGCAAUAUUCAGCAUCUCCAGGUUUCCAUUUAUUCCAAACCUCUGAGGUGUCAUGAUGAAAGUCAUUCUUUAGGAUAAAUCAUCUAGCUAAAAUUGCAGUGAGGAGAGAGAAAAUGUAAGUAAGAAUACUGUACUUCUCUUAGGUGUAUGUUACAAAAAGUUGAUGUCUGUUGACAGUAGUAAUAUUGGUGUGUGCAUAUAUAUAUACUUCUUUGUAUAUAUGGGAGUGACCUGGGAGCUGGCCUGGCUCUUGCAGUGGGCCGUAGUGUUUGGUGUUGAGCAGAAGGAAUUUCACAUAACACAUUAGACAAGAGCACUCCGAACUGCCACGCAGCACAGCAAACAAUACCCACGUCACAGUGCCGCCUGAAAACGUGUAAACAAGGAGUGUGCAAACCAGAAACAUUACUCAACACCCCUGUCUUAGUCAGUUUGACUAAUACCACAAACUGGGUGAUUUAUAUACAGCAGAGAUUUAUUUCUAAUCGUUCUGGAGGCUGAGUUCCAAGGUCAUGGUGCCAGCAGAUUUGGUGCCUGGUGAGGGCUCACUGCCUCGUAGAUUUUGUCUUCUAGUUGUCCACGUGGUGGAAGGGGAGAGAGAGGUUUCAGAGCCUCUUUUGUGAGGUCACUAGUCCCAUUCCGGACGGCUCUGCCCCAAUGACCUAGUUACCUCCCAAAGACCCUACCUCCUAAUACCAUCACUUUAGCAAUUAGAGUUCAACAUAUACAUUUUGAAAAGACACAAACAUUCAGAUGAUAGUCACCCUUUUCUGAGCUCUUAUGAACAACUGGUAUGUCUUCACCAACUGCAGUUUUAAUCCCAAUCCAUGUCUUCCACCUUUUAGAUAAUAAUUGUAUAGAUACCUUAUUAUGGAAACCCCCUACAGAGAGCGCCUUAUCUAGAGCAAAAUUACGAUUCCUGGAACCUUCACUCUGAUCCUCUAAUUUCAAGUCCAAAUUCUCUAACAAGCCCUUCCUAACGGGCUGGACACCCGGUGGUUUCUGAUCAUGUGAAACCUCUGUUGUUACAUCAGCUGCUGAUAAACAGAACUCCGU